UCCUCGCCGGCCACCAGCAAACAUUUCUGUAAUCUUAGUACAUUUGGCAGCAUCUGCCUGAAGCGCUUGUCUCUUUUUCUCCCGAAUUUUUUCUGCCCCUCCUUUCCGUUUUUUGGCGUUCUCCAUCUUGUGAACCUCUCUUCGUGACCGUGUAUGAUUGAUUGACUGCAGCGGCCCAAACGGGUGGGCGGCCCUCGGCUGUGAUUGGUCCAGCCCAGAAUCAAUCAUGGCUAAUGGGCUGAUGAUCGAUCUAUUAGUUUUGUGCACCAAUACUAAUAACAUUAGUAAGAUGUGUAGGAACUCUUCCCCACUUCCAAAAAAAAUGAAAUAAAAUAAAAUAAAAUAAAAAAAAAUAAAUAAUAAUCCGCCGGCCAGGCCCAUAAUCACCAUCGGCCCACCGGGAAAGUGCCCGGUAUGCCCUAUGGCCAGUCCAGCCCUGGCUCUUAUCAAGAAGGCAGACAG